UAGGUUUUGGUUAUUCUUUUGAAUGUGUUUCUUGCAGUUUAAAACUGUUUUGGUUUACUAUCAUGUUGUGUUGUCUUAAUCCGACAAGGUGAGGCGCUGAGAUGAAUAGAUUGAUGCUUGGUGAUGCUAUGCUUGAUGAUGCUUGGUGCUGCUAUUCAGAGGACCGAGAGAUUAAUGUUUUCGAUGAUGCUUUUAACAAUCAGUAAUUGGCUUCUCUUGUGUUAGUUGAUCUUGUGUAUGUGGUUUGGUGUUUGUAAUCGGCUUCAGCUUUAUUAAAGUUUGGCCAUGUUUAUAAAGCAAGAGAGAAACGGGUUUACGUUCUGCUAUUCCCGUGAACCUUGUGAUCUCACGUCGGCACAAGAGAAUGAAACUGGUUUGUGGUUCUGCUCUUCCCGUGAACCUGCAGCUGUCACGUCGGCACAAGAGAACAUAAGUCUUUGUGUUUUUCCUUCCCGUGAACAUGCAGCUGUGUUUUUCUUUCCACAAUUGUUGUUCAAUAAACUUGUAUAUAUAGCAAACU